AGACAACAAAAUGUUUAAUAUUAUUAUUUUGUCACCUUAGGUCGAUCGGUAUCUCACGUUCUUAAUUAAUUAAGAAUUUCAUUUCCUAAGUUUUUCUAGGUCACACCCAUUAUUUUUCCUGGGCCAUUAGCUCAGGUGGUUAGAGCGCACCCCUGAUAAGGGUGAGGUCCCUGGUUCAAGUCCAGGAUGGCCCAUAUCUCUAUGUUGGGGGUAUAGCUCAGUUGGUAGAGCGCCUGCUUUGCAAGCAGGAUGUCAGCGGUUCGAGUCCGCUUACCUCCACUGAUUACCACCUCUUCCAUAAUUUUGUAGAAAGGAAAUGUUUUGAGUUGUGAUCAAAUUCUGAACGAAUCUAGCUUCCUAAUGAAUUCAUUAAGAUGCUGGACUCAUUGAAUUAAUUUCAUUGUUUUCAGAGAACCUUGACAACUGCAUAGAUUAUUUUUAAAGACAAUAAGCAUCUUUAAUGAUGCAGAUUUAUUAUUUGUGCGAAUGCAUUAAUAACAAUUCUAUUAAGCUGAUGCUUCAAUUUUGAAGUUAUU
rnacentral:tRNA from 1 species